UCGACCGUUGCCUCUGCCCACCCUCUUGACAUCACCGUCCUCGGCCUCCUCCGCCCGCUAACCGCUGACCCGAGUGCACCCGAUCCUUGGACCACAUCCACUCUCCUCGUCUCCGGCGUCACCAGUUAUUCCUUCCUUGCUGCCGAGGCCGCCGUGCUUCUGCUUGUCUCUGUUGCUUCUCCCAUCGCCUUUCAAGCCGUUAAGCAGAUCCAACGCGUCCAAAGUGAUCAACACCAUCACCUCUUCGAUGCACAGAGCACGCGUUCCAAUUUGGUCUUAGUCGUGCAUAAGUUUAUGGUGGUUGAUUUUGAUGGUGCUUUUCCUGACAGAUACGCCUUCCCGGUUUUGUUCUCUUUAUGUAGAAUGCUUGUUCUUGUGCGUACGGUCCGUGGGGAAUACAUCGAAGCAGGGCUUCUGUUUGAUGAAAUGCUCAUCAGAGACGUGGUCUCCUGGGUCGGUUGGUCUCGGGGUAUAUGAAAGGUGGGUUAUUUGGUAUGCCACUGGAAUUGAUAGCUUUGAAGGACGUGGAGCAGGACGAUGUGACUCUGGUUAGCAUCCUUGACAUCUGUGGGACAUUGGUUAGCAUUCUGGGCAUGUGCUUGAGGUGCAAGAGUUUUUAUGAGCUUUCUGAGAGGCAUAGUCCCAUGGACUAGUUUUAUAAGUGGGAUAGUGCAAUGCAAGCAUCCAGAAGAAGCAAUGAAUGGCUAAAGUAAAGUGGAGCUCAAGAAUUUUAUGUAAUUACUUGGUGCAAAUUUUUUAUAAGGGAGUUGUUAGGCUAGCCAUUCUUGAUGCAUAUGAGCGUUGGAUCAUGAAGAGACAUGUACAGAAAGUUUGCAUAGUUAAGAUGAGACUGUUGCAGUGGAACUCUAUUGAUAAAUGACUUUCAGAACAACAAUUCUGGUUCUCAUGCAAUUUCAGAUGCUAAUGCUAUGUUUUUUUGAUAAAUGAUUGGACUUAAAAAAUAGAUGGAAUGAUUUUUGUCUACUAGAAAUAAUAUCGUGCUUAAAAUAAUCAUGGGACUUCACCAUCAAUUUGCACACACAAAGUUUAUGAUGUACACACGAAGUAGGUAGGAAAGCUUCACAUUACACAUCUUAUCAUGCGUAGGAUAAUAUGUCAUCACUAAUUUCAACUUUUUGCAUGGUGCAGCAUAGGUCUCUCUUAGUCAGAAUUGAGUAACUCCAUAACUGUUGCAGUUUAAAGAAGACCAUCACAUCCAUCCGCUGACGGCUUGGUACCUUUCAAGCAAGAUAAGGUUUAUGAGCCCCUGUAUGGAUUUUUAAUGAUUUUUUGUGUUAUUUCUUAAUACAAACACUCCAAAAGGUCAGUUUGCUUUUUGAUAUCUUUUUCUUUAUAGGACUCUGAUAAAUGGAGUUGACAUUAAUUUGUAUGUUUUGCCAAUGUCUCAGUGCUUCUGGAUUAAAUUUUCUUUUUCUUCCUUCUAGAUUAAGUUGAACAAUUACAGAUCAGAGCUCAGCUAAUUUCUCUUAAUUUUAGAACUAAUUCUAUUUUACAGAAGUAUUUGUAGAGGAAACAUUUGUGGCUUUCAAAUUUAAGGAACUUAAGUAUGAACAAAAUCAAAUGCAAGUAAAAGCUCAUUGAGGAUGUAUUUUAGGAGAUUGUAUUAUGAGAGCAUUUGUGAUUGUGACAGAAGAAAUGAAGGUUGUGAUUGAAGGGUUGAACUGACCAAUAAAUCGGUGCCAUUACUGAUCCUAACAGAACUAGGCUUUAUUCAAUUUUCUAACUACUGUGCUGGUCUCUCUACAUGACUUCAUGACAGGAAGGGCUGAAGUGACCUAGAAAUUGUUAAGGCCAGUAAAGAGGUGCUAAUAACUGAAUUACCAUCAAGCGAUCUGGGAUAUGUCAAUUGGUAUUUGGUAUCAUCAAGAUCCUUUCAGAUCCCCAAAAACAAUGUGCAGUUCCAAAUGAUGAUUCCUUGGAAGUUUAGGCAGUUGAAGAACAUUGCAGCUACAGGAUCCCCAAGGUUAAAAGCUGCUGCAAAAUCCCGCGUGUUGAAGUUCUGUCUCCAUCCAGGUGCAUACAUGGUUUGGCAGACAGAUUGCCGGAACAGAAUGAACACGAAGCGAUGGAUCCCAGCAGUUGGCCGUGGGCUCUCAUAGGAGACAAUCUCAUUGCCUAAAACACAUGGUGAUCUAUGUUUCCCAUUUUCCAUUCAAGGCCAAACAUUACCAACUGUCAAUCUAAUAGAAAGAGAAUUAUAUGUCAGCUUCCAAGGUUUAUGUACCAUCAAAGACAUCUGAGAUCUGUGGAAGUAAAGAAUGGCUUGAACAAGCUUUCGAUCAAACAUAUUCUCUGCAAUCAACAGCUAGUCAUGAUGUGCAAACCCUAGCUAUGAGAUGCUUGGGAUAUCCCAAGCUGAUAUGCUGAGAUAGCAUUUUAUUGGACUUGCUGUUAUAACUAUCAAAACCAGCAUCCACAGAAGGAUUAUAUUCCUUUGGCUUCUAUUUUAUUGUAGAAUCUGCACUGUAAUCAGAGGACAAGAUGCAAUCUUAGUAGGCAAUAAAUACAUAGGUGCUCUUAGGAUUGUUGACUAGAUGAUAUAUUCUCAAGGAACAUUACUACACCAAAAAGUAUACAAAAGCAGCCAGAUGUUGAUUCUCCAAACAGAGCAUAUCAAGACUAAAGCAAUGGAAGCCCAGACUAAAACCAAACUCUUGCUUGCUUACUUCAGAUCCUUGUUUGAAAAGAUUGAAAUAUUGGAGGCAACUGCAAUGUGGCUGAAACAAAUAUAUAUUCUUCCCACAUAAAAGUUUCAGAGCUGCAACAGCUAAUUUAGUAUUCCAUCACAAGCUUGUCAGUGUAUGUAGCAGAUGAUAAUUGGAAUCAAGAGGCAACCUUAUGCCUUGUUUAUGUUGCAGUCACCUUGACACUAACUUUCUUUUACUAUCGCUGGAGGAUGCUAUAACAAUUUUGUGCUUGAGGAAGCUCUACCAUUGAUUUGUAUCACAACUCAUCAGCAGGGCAUUUCUCAUGAACUUCUCGAUCAAACUACUAGUAGAAGAGAUAUUUUGGUUGUUCUAUUGUGGAAGAACAGCCACAGAGCUAAAUGUAAGACUAAUAUAUCAGAAGAUUGCAGACAGGGAUUAUAUCCAUUUUUGAGUUGAAGGAAUAAUGG